rnacentral:rRNA from 1 species
AACGAACGCUGGCGGCAGGCCUAACACAUGCAAGUCGAACGAGCUGAGACCUUCGGGUCUCGAUGCUAGUGGCGCACGGGUGAGUAACGCGUGGGAACGUACCCUUUAGUACGGAAUAACCCAGGGAAACUUGGGCUAAUACCGUAUACGCCCUUCGGGGGAAAGAUUUAUCGCUAAAGGAUCGGCCCGCGUCUGAUUAGGUAGUUGGUGAGGUAACGGCUCACCAAGCCGACGAUCAGUAGCUGGUCUGAGAGGAUGAUCAGCCCCACUGGGACUGAGACACGGCCCAGACUCCUACGGGAGGCAGCAGUGGGGAAUAUUGGACAAUGGGCGAAAGCUUGAUCCAGCCAUGCCGCGUGAGUGAAGAAGGCCUUCGGGUUGUAAAGCUCUUUCGACGGGGACGAUGAUGACGGUAACUCAAGAAUAAGGAUCGGCUAACUACGUGCCAGCAGCCGCAGUAA